rnacentral:rRNA from 1 species
UUAAAUUGAAGAGUUUGAUCAUGGCUCAGAUUGAACGCUGGCGGCAGGCCUAACACAUGCAAGUCGAGCGGUAGCACAGAGAGCUUGCUCUCGGGUGACGAGCGGCGGACGGGUGAGUAAUGUCUGGGAAACUGCCUGAUGGAGGGGGAUAACUACUGGAAACGG